AUCUCAUUGUUUUGACACUGCUAAAAGUCGAUCACAGUGUACUGUGUUGCCCAAGCAUAUUUCCAUGGAGAGGAGACUAUUGAAAUGGAGACGACCUGGAAAUUGGUUUGAGAGAGUUACAGGGAUCCAUCCGGCAGACAGGAAUCUCUUGUUUCGUGGGAGCUGGUUGCGAAUGACUUCUUGUGGUUUAGCAUCUUGUAUGAUUGUUGGGGGCUAUUAUUUGGCCGUUGAUCAUCUUGUUUCUGAGUGACGGAAAGAUAAAAAGAGGAAAGAGAAAGGGG
rnacentral:misc_RNA from 1 species